GCAGAGAUGGUUUGGUGGUAGAAUUCUCGCCUUCCAUGCGGAAGACCUGGGCUCGAUUCCUAGCCAAUGCA
rnacentral:tRNA from 1 species